rnacentral:tRNA from 2 species
GAUUUGGUAGCUCAGCUGGUAGAGCAUCUCACUUUUAAUGAGAGGGUCCUGGGUUCGAGCCCCAGCCAGAUCA